GGUAUGUAAUUACAAUCGUUAAAAAGUCUCUUUUAGUCGAUAAAAUCUUUAAAAUUGCAGCAAACUCUGGAAUGUCCCUUUAAUUUAAAGAAGACAAACAAGAAGGAAUUAAGCUAAUAUAGAUAACAAAAAGAAAGGUCUAUAUUCUAGGUAACUGAAGACUCACAAAUAAAAAAACUGUUUCCAAAUGUAUUUUAUUAAGAAGAAAGUUAAACUUUGUUUUGUUUAACGACACCAUGGAGUACAUUGAUUAACUAACCAUUGGUUACUGGAUGUCAAAUAUUUGUUAAUUCUGAUACGCAGAACCGCUACUUUUUUCAAUUAGCAGCAAGAGAUCUUUUAUAUGUAUGCUUCUAUAGACAGAACAACAGGUACCACGGCUUUUGAUACAGCAGUAGUGGAACACCGGUUAUGGAGGGUAAAACACCAAGACGUGGUAACAUUAUCACAUUUGUGCUAAAACAUGACCACUGACCCAUCCCCGCAAAAUAAUUAAAAAAACUAUAGCAACAACACACGAAAAACACAAAGAAAGUACUAAAAUUAAGAAACACCAAAACUAACGUCCAAUUACUAUAAUAUUAUAUCAAGAGUCAAGAGAAUAAUGACAAAUUAUUUAUGGGUAACGCAAACACAAAUUUAAUUAUUUAAAUUUGUGUUUGCAUAAAUAUUUUUCUUUAUUUUUCUCAGAAUCUUGAUAUAAUAUUAUAGUAUUGGCAAAACCUGUCUUGACCAUGUAAAUAAUGUCUUAAAUUUAAUGAACGAACGAAAAAUGGGUUCUACACAAUUAGAUCCUUCUCGCCGUUUUCAAAGGCCUGUUCUAUUAAUUAUUAUCAAAAUAUUUUAUUUUUUUUAGAUUAGUAAACAAUUGAAAAACAAACCUUUUCAUUUUGUAUACGUUUUUUUUGAUAUUUUCACAGUUUUGUUACUGUCGCAAACGUAUAAUUUAAACCAAAAUGAGUUUUGCCGGAGCACUGGUUGAAAAAUUAUACACAUUGUAGGAAUUUUGUUGUUUUUGUUGCUAUUAUGGAAAAGGUUUAUGCAUUAAAAAUGACCUUACCUACAUCAAGUAACGAUUCACAGGUGACGCUGUCGUUCAGGCAAUGUUGUCACAGUUUUACUAGGAAUUACCAGGAAUAACCCAGCGCUGUUCAAUUCACAUAAUCUUAGUGAGUACACAAUGGCAGAAACCAUUAAACCCAGGCGCGCGUGUGUGUGUGUGUGUGUGUGUGUGUGUGUGUGUGUGUGUGUGUGUGUGUGUGUGGUGUGUAGUCGGGUGUUGAAUCCCUUCCUUGCUCAAACAAAUGUUAUUUUUUAUCAGUAUAUUUUAGUGGAUAGUAUGACUUGACUCCCUAUAAACUUCGGUCGCCAUAUUCUUGAUUCCCUACCCCCUCCCCACCCUGCUAAAAUCCCUGCACACGCGCCUGUUUAAUCUAUUGACAAGCAAAGAACGUUUAGAUAAAAAAAAGUCGACAACAGGAAACAAUCAUAGAUUAACACGAUAAUAAUAACUCAUCAUUCUUAAUUUGUUCGUUGUUCACACACUAGUUUAAAAUCCACAAUUUAGACUACUUAUUUCGUCUUUAUAGUUUAGAAGUUUGAUAUUAAAAUUAAGUUUUAUCUAAUCUCUAGUAGUUUUUACAUGAAGUGAAUCCAUGUCGGACCCAUUCCAGUUCGUUCUAUUUUGACACAGAAUAGUUUAAAAUCCACAAUUUAGACUUCUGAUUUCGUCUUUAUAUUUUAGAAGUUCGAUUUUAAAAUUAAGUUUUAUCUAAUCGCUAAUAGUUUUUACUUGAAGUGAAUCCAGGUCGGACCCAUUCCAAAAAAAUAAAUAAAAUAAUGAUUUAGCAUUGCUUGACAAAGACAAAACAAAUAGAACAACCUGUAAUGUCCGUUUAGGUGUUGACGUUUUCAAAGUCUUAAUCCAAGAAAAAGAAAAAAAAGAGAGGAAAGAUGGAACAGAAUUUAACAGCAGAUAGUCAGAACAGUUUAUAAAAUUUACUUUCCAAUGAUCUGAAAAUGACAAACGUUUGACAUCAAAAGCUUUUGCCGUGAAUACGUCAUGUCUGUAUUGUUUAUUGGUGCCAUGGUAACACGCAUUGGCACAAACACCAACAAAACAUAAAUGGUUACUGCUUGAUUCCAUUGAUAACUGUUAGAAAUGAAAACAAAACUAUAGGAAUCAAAAAUCCUAUCUGUGUCCAACAGGUUUUAAUCGUUAUUGUUUGUUUUGGCUCAAGCUUGGUCUAAGAGGAUUUGGUGUGAUCGUCACAUGACCAACUCAGAUAUGCCAUGUUUAUUUUAACACAUCACAGUGUCACGUGGUGCUUUCACCUGUAAUUAGCGGUCUGGAAUCAACAUCAAACGACCCACCUGCUGUUCUAUUCACCGCAAACCAGUGAUGUCCACUCUUCGGGCUGUAUAAAUACCUACCUGUGAUGUGGUGAAGUCACAACACAACCAGCACUCAUACCUCUAUAGGAAAUCUGAUAAAGAAAAACAAACCUCUAUCCAAAAUGAUGAAAUUCGCCAUUGUUCUCCUCGUUGUCGUUCUGAUGUGCCAGGUUGCGGUGAACAACGCCCAUCACUGCGGCAGUAAAUGUUGCUGUCACUCACACCACAGCAGCAGUACCAGUGUCCACCACAAGAGCUCCAGUAGCAGUCUGGGAGGAGGGUUCGGACUGGGAUUGGCAGGUCUGGGUGGGAAGUAAUGAUCACGACAUCAGAUGGACGAGGGUGGACUAUGGAAGAUGUGCUCUGUUGAAGGAUCUGGAUUUAUGUUUGUUUUAUGUCAUAUUGCAUAAUAUGUUAAUCAAUAAAGUUUAUGAUUAUUA
rnacentral:lncRNA from 1 species